UUGUGGUUCUAGUUCUUCAUUUGACUCUCUCAACUAACUAAGCAUGAGACCUCUUUCCCCUACUUUUGUAUCUUCCUAGAGUUAGGGAGGUUAACGCCAACAUAUACAGUUCACUUAUUAUUCUCCGCAUAUAUUGGGGUCCGUUUGUUAACCUCGUUUUUAUCGCACAUUUCCCCUCGACUGUGUUUGAUCGACUCAAUCGAGCCACGACAAGCUAAGUUCGAGUCAAAUUGAAGUUAAUUAGAAUUUUUAUUCCAAAUUGACUUGGAUCGAGUCGAUUUUGAUUCGACUAAGCUUGAUUGAUUUCGACCAACACAUGUCGAUUGCGUCGUGUCAAAUUUCAUUUUGAUUAAAUAGUGAUUUUUGAAUUCAAUUUCUUGCGAUUAAAUUUAUUGAACUGGCUUGAACUCAAACUGACUCGAAUCGAGUCAAAUUAGGACUCAAGUCUAACUUGGUCUUAGCCAAAUUUGGCUUGAUUCAACUCAAUCUAAUCCUACUAAGAUCCAUUUAACUUUCUAAAUAAUUUGAAUCCAUUUACUAGAUCAGGCGACAAUUUCAACGGUUCGAAUUUCCCCGAAAUUCGAAUUCUGUCGUGGGCGUGAGCCCUCGAACAAGCAGUCGAUUCGAACGACUUUAGGAAGGAGAAAAAGGUCGUAGGGCUAUUUUGUUGUUUCGAGCAAAGCAGAACGUCGAGAGACGUUUAGAAGGCUUGGAGGAAACCUUCGGCUCUCAUUCUCACCGACUCCCUCUCUAUCUCGCGCUCUCGUUCGGAAGCAGCCCAGGUGAAUCCCCAGCUCUCCCACUCGGUUUCGCACAGCCCAGGCGAAUCCGGCCCCCCUUUGUCCUCUCUCGGCUUCGAGAAUACAAGGAGCACCUGACGCCUCCCCCGCUCUCGAUUUCGCGUGCCCGGACCGAGCUCGUCGUCUUGUCCGACGCCAUUCCGGACAAACGACCCGAGCUUUGUCUCCCCUGUCUUGGCCAAGUGAUCUCCUCCAAGGCUGCAGGUAGCUUCUUCAGUUUCUUCUCAUUCUUCUUCUUCUUCUUCUUCCAUACCUUCCAUUUCCUCUUCUUCUUCCUCUUGUUGUUUUCUUCUCAUUUUCAUCUUCUUCUUCUUCUUGUUUGUUCACAACUUUCUUCUUCACCCUUAGUUUCAUUUGCUUCCUUUAAAAAAAAAAAAAUUAAGAACUUAUGGAUUGAUUUAUUGCAAUAUAUUUAUCUGCUCUAAAAAGAUUCAUCAAGAGAAGUCUUCACAUGUUGAAAUUAUUCAAGCAAGCAUGAUAUGUUGUGAUAUGUUUCUGGUAAUGUCCUCCCUUGUUUGUUUGGAGACAUAAUUUUAUUUUUCUAAGGAGCAUAUGAAUCAUCUUCUCUUAGCAUAAAUGUUGUUAUUUUCAAAUGAUUUUGCAUUGUCAUACGAAAGAAAUAGCGAAGAAUGGGGUUUGUUGUUGGAUAUGUUUUUUUUUUUUUUUAAGAACAUGCUUGUGCUUGAAUUUUUUUUUAUAUAUGAAACCCACUAGAAGAUAUGUUGAAUUCAAUGACGAGAUGGUGUUGUUGUUUUUCUUUAAUUAAAUGCAUCUAUGAAGCUUCUUUAUUUGCACGAUUAGGUGAAAGGGUAGAAGCAUGACAUUCACCAUUGAUUACUUGUUUAGCUUUGUUUGUCGCACGGAUGCACACCAGUUAUUUGAUGAAAUGUUUCUUAAGAAAUGUUAUUAUGAAAUUUCUUCUUUGGUUGCUUCGUUGUAGCCUUUUAUGAACGACAAAAGACUAGUUUGUUAGUAAGAGCAUUUGGGGGCUUUUAAUCUCAAAAUGUCUUUAUAUGAAAAGGGUUUAUGCUCUUAUUUUUUUUUAAUAUAUACAUGUUGUGAGAGUUAAACAUCUAUCAUGAGAUUGUCAUGUAUCUUGUCUUGUAUCGUCAAUGUGUAUUUGCUUACUCACUUUAAGAUCUUGACUUCGGAGGGAUUCAAAAUGAGGUUGAUAUGUUUAGCUCAUUUUUUUAUGUAUAACAGAAAAAAAAAAGAGAGAGGUAUCUCAUUUUCUCUUAAAUGUGGAUAAGAAAAUUUCAACUUCUCUCGAUUAUAUGCAACCUUGCAUAUUUCAAUUCACAUGGCGCAUGCUAUCUACUUGAUGAAAUACUUUCCAAAAGGUAAUAUGAUGGCUUUUUUCGUAUUAGAGUUUGAUGUAAAAAAGCAUAAACGUGAGAGUUUCAUCGUAUGCUCCUUGAGUUGCAUUUGUCCUAUAAAUAGUGAUUGGUCGAGAUGGCUUACACAUUUGCAUCAUUUAAUCAUAGUUUAUCUUUGUGAUAAAAGUCUUGUUAUUCUUCACCAAGUGUAGAAUUUUCAUUAUUUUAGCUUUCAAAUUAUUUUGAAAAUGAACCAAGUGCAAAUUUUUCACUGUUUUAGCUUCCAAAUUGUUUUGGAAAUAAAACAAGUGCAGAAUUUUCACUGUUUUAGCUUCCAAAUUGCUUUGGAAAUGAACCAAGUGCGGAAUUUUCACCGUUUUAACUUCCAAAUUAUUUUGAAAAUAAAGUAAGUGUAGAAUUUUCACUGUUUUAGCCUCUAAAUUAUUUUGGGAAGUAAGAUUAGAUUUUUUCACUGUUUUAACCUACAAAUUGUUUUGGAGACAAACCAAGUGCAGAUUUUCAAUUGUUUUAUACUCCGAAUUGAUUUGUAGACAUGUUAGAUGCAAGUUUUCAUUAGUCUUGUGCCCCAAACUGAUUUAGAAAAGAGUUAGAUGCAUAUUUUCACUUGUUUUAUACUUCAAACUAUUUUUGCAAGAUAAACUUUGGAGAAUAAUUAUAUGCUUUCUACUUUUGAGAAGAUUUUUGAGCUCGUUGGAAUUAUUGAGGUGAAUAUUUUUUAAAUAUAUGCGUUGUUCUUGAAGUUAGAAUUAGAUUUAUAUUUCUUUUAUAGUAACACAUCAAAUGCUUGUUUGGCCCUUUUUGAGUUAUGAUUGGUUGGUAGAAUUUUACAUAAGUUUCUAUGAUUGAGUGGUUUUAUUAUUGAAAAUUUUUGCAAAAGUCUUUGAGUUAUUUUGUGUUAGAGGUUUUAUGCAAAAAUUUUAUUAACGUUUUAUAACGAAAAGCUAUUGCGAAGUUUUCUUGUUGGAGAGGUUUUAAAGGUUGUUUACCCCACGCAAAAAAAAUGAGCAAUUGAUUGUUUUCUUUGUGUCGAAACGUGGUUUGGUAGAAUUUUUAUGGAAAACUUUUAUGUAUUAUUUCAUUUGGAGAUUUUCAUGAGUAAAUUUUAGAAUUUGGAGCUUUAUGACGAGUUUUGUGUAGCAAGUUCUUUUUUAUGUCUUUUUGAAACAAAUGAUCUUUCUUAAUUGAAUUGGCUUUCUUUUACUAGUAUUUGUUAUUAAAAGUGGAGUUUUGGAUAGAUGUAGAAUGAAAGUUUAUUUUGAGUUUUUUUUUUUGGAAUUUGUUCCCAUUUGUCACUUUGAGCUUUAUUUAGAUAAUAGUUUAGUUAGUCGUGUUAAAUGUACCAAGUGCUUUCGUUGGAAUGUGGGGAUAAUAAACAGCAGUAAAAACCUCCCUAUUUGUAUCACAUUGAAUUGGAGAAAAAAUUAUUUUAGAGGCACAUUUGGCUUCAAAAAAGUGUGCCCAACAAUAACAAUGCCUACAUUUCUUUUAUUUUUGAUUUUCAUUCUUUUCUUUCUUUUGCAUUUAGUCGUCUCUUACUUUGUUUUUAGUUUUUCUGCCGCUACUUUAUUUAUGCUUUAAGUUUUAAUGCUUGCAAAGUGAGGAAAACCCAAAAGAUAAAUGACUCAAUCGGUAUACAAAAAGGUACGUUCUUGUUUUUAUUGCAUCUUCAUUUCUUUGUAUUCACAUUUUAUAUAAUAAACAAAUGAUAAUACAAAGAAAUGAAGAUGUAAUAAAAACAAGAACGUACAUUUUCGUAUUCCGGUUGAGCCAUUGGUUUUUUUGGUUUUUCUCACUUUGCAAGAAUUAAAACUUAAAGAAUAAAUAAUUGAGCGAUAUAAAAAUUAAAAACAAAGCAAGAGACGACUAAAUGCAAUAGAAAGAAAACAAUGAAAAUCAAAAGUAAAAGAAAUGUAGGCAUUGUUAUUGUUGGACACACUUUUUUGAAGCCAAAUGUGCCUCUAAAACAAUUUUCUCCCCAAUUCAAUGUGAUACAAAUAGAGGAGAAGGUAUUUUUAAUGCUCUUUACUGUCCCCACAUUACAACAAAAGCACUUGAUACAUUUAAAACAAUUAACUAAGCUAUUACCUAAAUAAAGCUCAAAGUGACAAAUUGGAAUAAGUUCCCAAAACCAAAACUCAAAAUAAGCUUUCGUUAUACAUCUAUCAAAACCCCCAUUUUUAGAAGCAAAUACUAGUAAAGAAAGCUAAUUCAAUUAAAAAAUAUCAUUCAUUUUAAAAAAAAAUCAAAGAGAACUUGCUACAUAAAAUUUGCCAUAAAGCUCCAAAUUCCAAAAUUUACUUAUGAAAACUUUCAAAUGAAAUAAUACAUAAAUUUUUUUCAUAAGCAAUCUACCAAAGCACCAACCUUUAAAACAUAUCCAAUAAGAAAACUUCGCAAAAGCUUUUCGUUGUAAAACGUCAAUAAAAAUUUUGUAUAAAGCCUUGCCUCACAAAAUAACUCAAAGCCUUUUGCCAAAUUUUUUAAUAAUAAAACCACUCAAUCAUAGAAACAUAUGUAAAAUUCUCCCAAUCAAUCAUAAUUCAAAAAAAGGACCAAACACCCAUUAAAGAAACAUAAAUCUAUUUCUUACUUCAAGAACAACGCAUAUAUUCAAAGAAUAUUCAUCUCAAUAAUUCCAACGAGCUUAAAAAACUUCUCAAAAAAAGAAAAUAUAUAAAUAUUCUCCAAAGUUUAUCUUGCCGGUUCAAUAAAUUUAAUCGCAUGAAAUUGAAUUCAAAAACCACUAUUUAAUCAAAAUGAAAUUCGACCCGACACAAUCAACAUGUGUUGGUCGAAAUCGAUCGAGCUUAGUCGUAUCAAAUUCGACUCGAUCCAAGUCAAUUUGGAAUAAAAAUUCUAACUAACUUCAAUUUGAUUUGAACUUAGCUCGUCGUGGCUCGAUUGAGUCGAUCAAACACAGACGAGGGGAAAUGCGCGAUAAAAACGAGGUCAACAGAGAAUGACGAGUCAGUAAAGACAACGUGAAAGCUUUUUCUAUGUUUGAUUGUAGGUGGCGUCUUUGGACAUCCCUUUAUUGUUGCUCCAUGCAUGCUCAUUGAUAAUUCAUGUGGAUUUGAAACCAUCCCCCCCAUAUAUAUAUACACAUUUAUGCACAUGCAUACAAACAUACAUGUUUAUGAUAUACUUAUUGCAAUCAAAUUGUGGUGCCAAGGGGAAAGAAGGGACGAUGUCGAUUUCAGUAGGGAAAAAACUGUCUACCUUUUUCUAUUUGCAUUUUUUAGGAUGAUUGUGGGUAAGUACAUUUAAAUUAAAUAAUAAUUAUAUCAGAGGAAUGAUUGGAGUGCCAUCUAUUUAGAUGAGAUUAUUGAAAAAAGAUUUAAGUGCUAUGACCAUGUAUAUUGAAUGGUAGAUAAUGUGGCAAUUAAACAUGUAGAUAAAAUUAGUGUUAAUUUUGAAGGAGUGGGUUUAGACCUAUAAGGUUAAAUGCAAUUGCGAACAUUGAGGAUGGUCUGAAAUAUCUCAGGCAACCGAUGUUAUGAUUUUCCCUAUUUAUUCUUUUGGUGAGAGGACCUUCAGAAAGCGGUUUAUUUAUUUUUUGUUGGAAUUUAUUAGUCGUAUUGCCCUCUAUCUCUUUAUUUCCAUGAAGUACGUUGCAGUAACCAUGGUAACUUGUUGAGCCUUUUUUUCAUUUUGUAUGUAUAUUUGAGAGGUUUGAUGGAGAAGUAUAGAGAUGUUUAGAAUUUUGCCUGAAUAUUGCUAUGUUUCCUAUGGUAUGUCUUUCUGGAUGGCCUGGAGUUUCUCUGGAAACCACAGCUAACAUUGCAAUGGGAAUUCGAGCAUAGUGAAACUUCUCUAAUAGUCCAUGGAUUCAUUUUUAUCUUCUGAGCCUUUUUUCUUUCAUCAUCAUCUUCCUCCUUUUUGGUUCAUGAUUCUUUUGUUUGAGUUUGUUUUGGAGCUAUUAGCGGAAAAGGAAUAUUGUUUGCCUAACUGACGCUUACUCUCCUUACUACCAUAAAAUUUCAAGGGCGCUUUCUCCAUUCUAAUUUUAAUGCAUGUUGGUGGAAUCAAUGUCUGUUGCUGUGAAAAGGGAAAUAAAUUCAUUGAAGAGAGAUACAUAUGAUUCUUAGACAGAAAUACUCUCAGUGGCUUCAUCUUCUCCAUGAAAUAUAAUUACGAAGGCCAUAUCCAUUGGCAGUUAUGAAGAUUAUUGCAAUAUUCAUAAUGGGUAAUAGUGUUGUGAUUAUUUCUUUUUAGAAGUUAAAAAAAUUUGGGGAAGAUUAUGAUGAUGAUAAUGAUUUAGAUUUUUGCUGGGUUGUGUAGUGCUUUUGUGGAGUAUCUCUAUGAUAUAACAUGUAUCGAUGGUCUAAUAUGCACUAUUCAUAAACAACAAAUCUUUAUUGUAUUGAUAGUUUUAUUUAUAUAACAGGGGAUUUUAAGAUGGAUUCCCAUGAAGGCAAGUAACUCCUUUACUUUGGGAAUGUCUUAGUGGUAGUGCUGGUGAUGCCCAAAUAUGCUUUCCUCUAUGCCCUUUGAUUGUUUUGACAAGUUAUUCAGGCGACUGAUCUUCGACAACCCAGGAUUCUUAUACUCAUUUUGCUAUGGCGAACAUCAAGGCUGGCCUGUGUACUUAUAUAUGCUUGUUGUGAGUGGACUUAUAGAAAGCUGCUCUUGUGUCUAUGUUUGAAUGAAGGUCAUAUUGUCCUCUUUUUUCUCUCGUAAAGCACUGUGCAGUAACCAUGAUAGUUUGAGAUGAUCUGCAUAUAUAUAUAUAUAUAUGUGUGUGUGUGUGCGUGCUUGAAAAAAAAAAGAUUAGCAUAUCUUACUGGUAGCCCAAGUGAGGCUCCCCAUUCUUAUUAAUUUCCUUAGAAAUUUAACCCUGAUGGGGGAUAAUAAUUUUCAUUUGCAGAUGGAGGGCGACCAGUAGCCUCAUCUCUGCAAUGAAAUACGAUUAAGAAGGCCUAAUCAUAUGGUAAUUUUCAAGAUUAGUGGUAAUACACAUAGCUUGUGAGCUGUGUUUAUCUGUUUUAUGAGUGAAAAGUUUUUGGGGCAAUGAUGAUGAUUUAGAAUUUAGCCCUCAACUGCACAUGGCGGCUAUGAAAUUUUCCU